rnacentral:rRNA from 1 species
CAGCCGCCGCGGUAAUACCGGCGGCCCGAGUGGCGGCCACUAUUAUUGGGCUUAAAGCGUCCGUAGCCGGGUUGGUUAGUCUCCCGGGAAAUCUGGCCGCUUAACGGUCAGAAUUCCGGGAGAUACUGCCAGCCUAGGGACCGGGAGAGGCCGAGGGUAUUCCCGGAGUAGGGGUGAAAUCCUAUAAUCCCGGGAGGACCACCUGUGGCGAAGGCGCUCGGCUGGAACGGGUCCGACGGUGAGGGACGAAGGCCAGGGGAGCAAACCGGAUUAGAUACCCGGGUAGUCCUGGCUGUAAACGAUGCGGACUUUGUGUCGGACAAGCUAUGAGCUUGUCCGGUACCGGAGGGAAACCGUUAAGUCCGCCGCCUGGGGAGUACGGCCGCAAGGCUGAAACUUAAAGGAAUUGGCGGG